GAUGAACGCUGGCGGCGUGCCUAAUACAUGCAAGUCGAGCGAAUGGAUUAAGAGCUUGCUCUUAUGAAGUAAGCGGCGGACGGGUGAGUAACACGUGGGUAACCUGCCCAUAAGACUGGGAUAACUCCGGGAAACCGGGGCUAAUACCGGAUAACAUUUUGAACCGCAUGGUUCGAAAUUGAAAGGCGGCUUCGGCUGUCACUUAUGGAUGGACCCGCGUCGCAUUAGCUAGUUGGUGAGGUAACGGCUCACCAAGGCAACGAUGCGUAGCCGACCUGAGAGGGUGAUCGGCCACACUGGGACUGAGACACGGCCCAGACUCCUACGGGAGGCAGCAGUAGGGAAUCUUCCGCAAUGGACGAAAGUCUGACGGAGCAACGCCGCGUGAGUGAUGAAGGCUUUCGGGUCGUAAAACUCUGUUGUUAGGGAAGAACAAGUGCUAGUUGAAUAAGCUGGCACCUUGACGGUACCUAACCAGAAAGCCACGGCUAACUACGUGCCAGCCGCCGCAGUAA
rnacentral:rRNA from 1 species